AAAUACGAGAGGCAAUAUUGUUAUUUUGUUUUGGUUAUCGUGGUCUAUCUCGUGCUUGUGCGAAGACCCGUAUAUCCCUUAACCUUAUCCACAACCACAAACUAUAUUGCUCUAUUGUCUCACCAUAUCAACGGAGCAAAAACCGGACCAGAUUUGAAGCUAAAAGAUACGCAAAGAAGAAAUGGAUGGGUUUCAACAGUUUGGUGUGCCGGUAGUCGGAAUAGUUGCCGUAGCUGCUCUUACUUUCUACGCCGUAAGCUUCAUGGAGAUGAGUGAGAAGUCUUUCAGAGAGUUGGAUGAAAAAGUAGAUUCCGAAAAUGGAGGAGGAUUCAACCCUGCCCUUAGAUUUAAAGAGAGGACUGCUAGAAAAAAGGCUCAAAAACAGACCAAACCUUAGAUUCAUCCUAUCCUCUCUCUAUUUACUCUCUUAAUCUUAGUUUAAUAUUUUAUGUCAAAAUAUUUGAAUUUUGAUAGCUUGAACAGUUAAUGGUUCCAAGUUGUACUGAUAGAAUAUGUCAAUUCAAUUUGAAGGUUAUUUUUGUA